rnacentral:rRNA from 1 species
GAUGAACGCUGGCGGCGUGCCUAAUACAUGCAAGUCGAGCGAACGGACGAGAAGCUUGCUUCUCUGAUGUUAGCGGCGGACGGGUGAGUAACACGUGGAUAACCUACCUAUAAGACUGGGAUAACUUCGGGAAACCGGAGCUAAUACCGGAUAAUAUUUUGAACCGCAUGGUUCAAAAGUGAAAGACGGUCUUGCUGUCACUUAUAGAUGGAUCCGCGCUGCAUUAGCUAGUUGGUAAGGUAACGGCUUACCAAGGCAACGAUGCAUAGCCGACCUGAGAGGGUGAUCGGCCACACUGGAACUGAGACACGGUCCAGACUCCUACGGGAGGCAGCAGUAGGGAAUCUUCCGCAAUGGGCGAAAGCCUGACGGAGCAACGCCGGGUGAGUGAUGAAGGUCUUCGGAUCGUAAAACUCUGUUAUUAGGGAAGAACAUAUGUGUAAGUAACUGUGCACAUCUUGACGGUACCUAAUCAGAAAGCCCCGGCUAACUACGUG